GGAACGUGGUGUUUGCUUGCAACAUGCAGUUGAAAAUAAUAAUAUUCAUCAUGAUUUGGAUUUCAAAACACAUUUUCGUGUUUGCUCAAACUACCUCAGAGCUAUGUUAUAUGGAAUCUAUAACAAAAGGCAUGUUCAUACACCUAUUAAUGUCAAAAAUGGUUCUCUGACCUCUCCUUAGCACAUCACCGAGUCCCAAAAUUUCGGAAAUUAUCAAUAUCUCUGUGUAGAAAAGAACCCGUCCUGGAGCAUUGUAUUCAGCGAACACAAAUGCCUUGAAAAUUGCCACAUUCUAUUUUCAUCAGAACUUGAUUCGAUUUCACUGAAGCCAAAAUUUCGCGAGCCUGUUUUCGAUCCUCCGCAAAAGUUAGUUGACUGCUUCAAAGUUAAAAGAGAUGUGACUAUCACUUGCAGAUCCAGACUUGAAGGUCUUAAUUUAAGGCAAUUUAACGAUUUUUCGUUGAUUUACCUUUCAACUAUCGCAACAUCCAGGUUUGAAGCAGAAAAAUUUUGCAUGUCUCAUGGUCUAAAUUUUGACUUUGAGCAAGUGAAAAAUAUUGAGUUGGGUGUCAAUCAAAUCUGGGCUCCAUCAUUGCAAUAUUCUAAAUCAAAUCUCACCUGCUUCAUCUUUGUGAAGAAAUUCGGGACCUAUGUAAUGGAGCAGGAGAACUGUGGCAACAAAAAUGAGUUCGUGUGCAGCUUGCCUGAAGCGUGCCACACUACCUUUUGUAGUUCAAACAGGCAACAGCUGAAAGUCAAAAAGCAAAAAUGUUACCCCCGAUGUCCAAAACCAGACUGCAAUGACGAGGCA